rnacentral:rRNA from 1 species
UAGGUUAACGAGGCGAACCGGGGGAACUGAAACAUCUAAGUACCCCGAGGAAAAGAAAUCAACCGAGAUUCCCCCAGUAGCGGCGAGCGAACGGGGAGCAGCCCAGAGUCUGAAUCAGCUUGUGUGUUAGUGGAACGGUCUGGAAAGUCCGACGGUACAGGGUGAUAGUCCCGUACACCAAAAUGCACAGGUUGUGAACUCGAAGAGUAGGGCGGGACACGUGGUAUCCUGUCUGAAUAUGGGGGGACCAUCCUCCAAGGCUAAAUACUCCUGACUGACCGAUAGUGAACCAGUACCGUGAGGGAAAGGCGAAAAGAACCCCGGCGAGGGGAGUGAAAAAGAACCUGAAACCGUGUACGUACAAGCAGUGGGAGCACCUUCGGGUGUGACUGCGUACCUUUUGUAUAAUGGGUCAGCGACUUAUAUUCUGUAGCAAGGUUAACCGAAUAGGGGAGCCGCAGGGAAACCGAGUCUUAACUGGGCGUUAAGUUGCAGGGUAUAGACCCGAAACCCGGUGAUCUAGCCAUGGGCAGGUUGAAGGUUGGGUAACACUAACUGGAGGACCGAACCGACUAAUGUUGAAAAAUUAGCGGAUGACUUGUGGCUGGGGGUGAAAGGCCAAUCAAACCGGGAGAUAGCUGGUUCUCCCCGAAAGCUAUUUAGGUAGCGCCUCGUGAAUUCAUCUUCGGGGGUAGAGCACUGUUUCGGCUAGGGGGUCAUCCCGACUUACCAACCCGAUGCAAACUACGAAUACCGAAGAAUGUUAUCACGGGAGACACACGGCGGGUGCUAACGUCCGUCGUGAAGAGGGAAACAACCCAGACCGCCAGCUAAGGUCCCAAAGUCACAGUUAAGUGGGAAACGAUGUGGGAAGGCACAGACAGCCAGGAUGUUGGCUUAGAAGCAGCCAUCAUUUAAAGAAAGCGUAAUAGCUCACUGGUCGAGUCGGCCUGCGCGGAAGAUGUAACGGGGCUAAACUGUGCACCGAAGCUGCGGCAGCGACACUAUGUGUUGUUGGGUAGGGGAGCGUUCUGUAAGCCUGCGAAGGUGGCCUGUGAGGGUUGCUGGAGGUAUCAGAAGUGCGAAUGCUGACAUAAGUAACGAUAAUGCGGGUGAAAAGCCCGCACGCCGGAAGACCAAGGGUUCCUGUCCAACGUUAAUCGGGGCAGGGUGAGUCGACCCCUAAGGCGAGGCCGAAAGGCGUAGUCGAUGGGAAACAGGUUAAUAUUCCUGUACUUGGUGUUACUGCGAAGGGGGGACGGAGAAGGCUAUGUUAGCCGGGCGACGGUUGUCCCGGUUUAAGCAUGUAGGCGGAGGUUC